AUUGAACGCUGGCGGCAGGCCUAACACAUGCAAGUCGAACGAGAGGCGGACGGGUUAGUAAUGUCUGGGAAACUGCCUGAUGGAGGGGGAUAACUACUGGACACGGUAGCUAAUACCGCCUACCUUCGGAUGUGCCCAGAUGGGAUUAGCUAGUAGGUGGGGUAACGGCUCACCUAGGCGACGAUCCCUAGCUGGUCUGAGAGGAUGACCAGCCACACUGUAACUGAGACACGGUCCAGACGCCUACGGGAGGCAGCAGUGGGGAAUAUUGAACAAUGGGCGAAAGCCUGAGGCAGCCAUGCCGCGUGUGUGAAGAAGGACUUCGGGUUGUAAAGCACUUUCAGCGGGGAGGCGUUACCCGCAGAAGAAGCACCGGCUAACUCCGUGCCAGCAGCCGCGGUAAUUC
rnacentral:rRNA from 1 species